GGGCCCGCACAAGCGGUGGAGCAUGUGGUUUAAUUCGAUGCAACGCGAAGAACCUUACCAGGGCUUGACAUACUACGAAUUUUCUUGAAAGAGAAAAGUGCCUUCGGGAAUGUAGAUACAGGUGGUGCAUGGCUGUCGUCAGCUCGUGUCGUGAGAUGUUGGGUUAAGUCCCGCAACGAGCGCAACCCUUAUUUUUAGUUACCAAUUCGUUGGGUUCUCUAGAAAGACUGCCGGUGACAAACCGGAGGAAGGUGAGGAUGACGUCAAGUCAGCAUGCCCCUUAUGUCCUGGGCUACACACGUGCUACAAUGGUUAAGACAAAGAGUUGCGAGCUUGUAAAAGUCAGCUAAUCUCGUAAACUUAGCCUAAGUUCAGAUUGUAGGCUGCAACUCGCCUGCAUGAAGUUGGAAUC
rnacentral:rRNA from 1 species